GGCAAUGGCGGCAGCUACACAUGCAGUCGACGGUAGCACAGAGAGCUUGCUCUCGGGUGACGAGUGGCGGACGGGUGAGUAAUGUCUGGGAAACUGCCUGAUGGAGGGGGAUAACUACUGGAAACGGUAGCUAAUACCGCAUAACGUCGCAAGACCAAAGAGGGGGACCUUCGGGCCUCUUGCCAUCAGAUGUGCCCAGAUGGGAUUAGCUAGUAGGUGGGGUAACGGCUCACCUAGGCGACGAUCCCUAGCUGGUCUGAGAGGAUGACCAGCCACACUGGAACUGACACACUGUCCACACUCCUACCGGAGGCAGCAGUGGGGAAUAUUGCUCAAUGGGCGCAAGCCUGAUGCUGCCAUGCCGCGUGUAUGAAGAAGGCCUUCGGGUUGUAAAGUACUUUCACCGGGGAGGAAGGCGAAAAGGGUAAUAACCUUGUCCAGUGUCGUUACCCGCCA
rnacentral:rRNA from 1 species